GUUCAUGAUACGGCAAAAUUUUAUUAAAAAAAGUUGUUCAAAAUGAGAGAUUAUGGUCCUAUGUCAAAUUUCAUAAAGAUCUACCUACUUUGGUUGAAUCGACACAUUUUAGCAUUUCUCGAUUAUUCGGUAUUGGUUGUUAUUCUAACGUCGGGACACCUUGGAGGCUACGCAAUUGGACCAUUUCUAGAUAUAAUCUGUUCUCGAAAUAUUAAAUCUAACGAUUCAGCUACGCGUGCUGUAGGUAGAAUGUGCAGGUGUGUUGCAAUCAGCGGCAUGUCGUCUAAGUAUUCUUCCUUGAACCUUUCAAGUAGCUGCUGAUGAAGAAAGGCCCAAUAAUACCUAAACUGUGUGAAAUGGCGUUGCAAUUUCGAUUUCUCUUUGAUUGUCUACGAUGUUCUUUCACGGAAUUAAGAGCAAUAAUAGUUGUGAUUGGUAUUUGGAAAUCUCCCGUUAAACUGCUUCACCACUGUUAUUAGUGUCUUCACUCUGAUCUAAUCAAAAGUAUGGCGGCUUAAUCAAUCUUUUCUUCAAUGUCACUAUACCUCCUGCAACUUAUAUUCUGGGACAUACACUGUGUUAAUUA